rnacentral:lncRNA from 1 species
GAAAAACAGAAGAAUACCCAAGUCAUUCAAGAGAAGUCCCUCUGCAGACUUUCCUUCAGCCUUUGAGCAGAAACUUCCCCCGCUUUUUUUCCCCCCAUAUCAAACACAGGCCUAUGGCGCAAAAGAGUCUGGCCAGAAGUCCCCAGAGGAGCUCUUGAACUUUGGAUGGCUCACGUUGCUUGCUGGAGCGCCAAAGGAAGUUCACAUGCUCAGACUGGAGGUCUCCAGGCGCUCGGCGCGUGGGGCCAGGACUCCAGGGUCGUGCUGCACACACAAACACCAGAAAGGCUGCAGCAUACGGUUCGGCUGACAGAAAACAGCAAAAGUGAGGUUUUGGGAGGGGGGUGGGAAGCAUCCAGGUGGAAUGAAGUAAAACAAGUAAAACAUGCUGGCGCAGCAGGGCUAGGCAUCCUCCAGAGAGGGGGUGAAAGUUAGAUGCGUGUUUUUGAUAGGCGCUCAUGAUUUCAGCAGUGAAUGAGUCAGGUCUCAUGAGAGGUCGCUGCUCUUCCUCUCACCCGCAAACAGGACAUCCGGCGUUCACAGCCAAAGGCAGGAUAAUACACUGAGCGCCAAAAGGUGAGCUGCAUUUCAGCAAUGGUGAAUGUUCGCAGGGACAUCUCAGUUCUCCAUCCGUCACCGCUGACCUGGGCAGGCUACCUGCAAACCCAGUCACCGGUGACUGGUGCCAUCAGUUCCUCUGUGCCUGGACCUCUUCAAACGUUCACAGGAGCUCCUGACAGAUCUGGUUUCUGUCGCGCUGGCCUAGCAGACAGGAAAGCAAUCGCACCUCGCUGGAAGCUGGCUGGGGAGCAACUUAACGAACCCGGCCACGGUGGGGGGAGAGCCAGCGCCAGCCGCCGUGCGUGCUCCCCCUCCGCGUCACUGGGGCGUCACCAAUGUGUCUGAAGGCUUUCUACGGAGAAAAGGAACAUGUCAGGGGAGUUUAAUAACACCGGGCUGCAUCAACGUCAGUUAUGUCUGUGCAAUGCACUUCCCAUGCCUGCAGCUGCCACUCAGGUUGCUCCCACGCCAGAGGCUGGGAGAUCAUUUUUGUCCCCAUCUGGGGGCUGCUCUAAUAGAGCUGGCACUUAACCCGCUUCUGGCUCUGGCAGGUGAGCCCAGCUACCUGCUAGCCCCUAGGAUUUGGGGUGCCCCGGGGCUCUGUGUGGCUCCAAGGGCUGGAAGGCUGCCAUGGGACGAGGCUCUCAGCCACAGGACGGGCAGAGAAGAAAAGCUGUGCCCUCUGGUGUCACACCAGCUCCCUGCAUCAUCCUUUCGUUGCUGAAGCUGGGCAAAGGCUGCGGGAUGUCGGGCUCCUGCGCUUCGGCAGCUCUGCAUGCCCAUCUGCCCCCUGCUGCGAGCUCGCCGCGCGGUGUCUGUGGCUCCCUCCCAACGCCACGCAGUCAUUAACAGCCAGCGUUCACCAGCCUUCCUGUGAAAUCCCCAACUCGCAUUGUAACAAGUUCAAUGUGAAAUGAAAUUCUAGCCCUUCAUGUGCUUAUUAGCGGUCACUAACUCUGCUUUAAACGAAUUCAACACCGUGAACUCAACAGCAAGAGCUUUUCUUCAAGAUUAGGAAGAUUUAGCCAUUCAGGGCAGGUGCCCCCUAGCCCACAACACGACCAGCCCUUGUAUCUAAUGAAUCCGCAGGUGAUCUGUAAAUACAGAUCUGAAGUCGUGUGGAUCUCCGACUUCAACUGCCAUCACUUCAGAGUGCCUUGAGCACAAGCUAUUUACACCGCUCCCGUCACAAAAGCGCCUCGGGAGCAUUACUGAGCACCGCUCCACACCAGCCCACAAGGCAGGCAAGUGCCAUCAGCAUCUCAGGGACGGAGGACCAGAAGCAGGGGAAGGUUAAGUGAGCAGGCUAGGGUCAUGCAGGACGUCCACAGCAGCGCAGGGAGCUGGAGGCUGCUUUCCCAAACUGCAGCUCUAAGCACAAGGCCUAAGAGGAGCAACUCGCUGCUGGCUGUCCAUGUCCGCAGCAGCCUCAGUGCCGUGGAACAGACCACACCAACCCAUCCUUGUCUGCCGAGCUGCAGUCCUGCUAAUAUGCCUUCAUCGAGCAACUGCUUGGGUAUUUGAGAACGAAAUCCAAGGCUGGCAUAAGGGUAAUUCUUUGUCAUAUAGAUCAUUUCCCAUAUUUUAAAACAAAACAAAAACAAACAAAAGCAUAUAAGCCACAAACAGGUGGCAAGGAAAAAUCUUGCCUUCAAUAAUAAUUUGGAACUAAAUCUCCUGGGAUUAGAGCUACUCCGUCUAAUAUGAGGAGUUUAUCUGUAAUUUUCCAUCCUCACAGGGAGUGAGCUGCAUUAAGGCUGAGCUACAGCUAUUGUUUAGUGCUUCCAGUUCCCCAUGUUCACAUUAAAUCACAGCCUCCAGGAAUCAACAGUGACUAUAUCUCAUGAUGACACAGAUUAGUUGAGAUUUUGAGCAAUGCACGAGGCUCUGUGAUUAUAUUAGAGCCCAUGGAUGUGCUUGGAUUCAGGGGGCUAUCAGGAGGCUCCAACCAAGCAGAGCCACUUGAGCGAAGCAAACAAACUGCCGUGCAACUGAGUUAUAGCGGGUUACACAAGCAGCAGAAAAAGGCAUGCAAAAGAAGAGCAGAAACCAAGCUGCUUUUUGGAGAGGGAGGGUAAAACUUGUGUGAGCAGCUCAGCGCCAACACUGCUUCAACUACAGUCGGUGGGUCUUUGGAGAACUGUUUGAGUUCAUUUGUAGAAGACUACCUUGGGUGCUUUGCAGCAGGGGAGCACAGGGGAGCUUGCGGAGGAGUGCCCCUCACCCAGGGAGCCCUCCCUGGGGAAGCUGCCUGAGGCAGCGAUGGAAACCAGAGCCCCAGUCUGGGAGCUGCCGUUUCACCUUCCUAAAAAAAGGAAGGGAAGCAAGGAGAGGGAGGGGAAAGGCACAACCUUCCCUGUUUGCACACCUGCUCCCCUGUGAUGCCUCCCUGGGCACAACCACUUGCCCUCCCAGUGCCAGCUAUCCCUCCUUCCGCAGGGGACAUCCCGGAGAGGAGGGCAGCGCAGCUCCGCACUAAGCUCCAGUGACAAGCCCGAGCGCUUCAGUGUUUGUCUCCAAAAUGGGCUCACUCGGGAAAAGUAAAUACGUCAGCUAAAUUGCCAAACAUGUUAAAUACCCAUUGUCUCUUUUAGUUCAGGUUUCAGCACCGAUAUAAAACAUGAUGCAUAAUCCCUGGAGCCGAGCGGGAUUUGAGAGACUGCAGAAUGCCACAUUAAACUCAGAGCUGAUGAUUGCAAGGCCGUUUGGCAGUAAUGAAUCAUUUGUUACGGCACGCCACAGAGCAGAUGUCACAUCCGUCACCGCACCAGGGACUAUGACACUCCAAGAGGCACAAAAAACCAACCCUGGAUUACGGCACAAAAUUAUGAGGAGAAAGAUGCACAGCUUUCAAUCGCAGUAAGAGCGUGUUUCUGGUCUCCGUUCUACACGUUAACUAGACGGUGCUUAUCCAUAAAGCAACGGGCACAGUUUUCACUGCCUUGUCUCCUGGACUAUAAAGACUUUUGACAAAGCCUAAGCUCAGAGCUUGGAGAACGAGGCGCGGGGCUCAGAAGCAGAGAGGCAAACCUAAGUCACUGGCUCAGCUCAGGGAAGGUCUGCAGUAAGCAAGUGUUUGCUGUCAUCAGUUAGCUGCUAUUUAUGGGUCAGCAGAGCCCCAGGCAAAAUUAGGGCCUUGCUGGUGCUCGGUGCAGCACAAACCCCUGCUGCGACCUCACUGCGAUGGGCAUUUCUAUAUUUCUACAGCUCCUGAUAUGCUGUUCACAGCAACGUCAACCUGCCCGUGUGACCCACUGCCCCUCGCUCAGCUGCUCUUCCAAGAAAUAAACUGCCCUUUGCUUCCCA